UACUAUCUAAUAUCCCAUGGCACCUAAAUUUCUGCUAGUGAGCAUGUGGCCAGCCGCUUCAGUCUAAGUGCCCAGCUCAUGCCUAAGUCCCAGCAGGACCAUCAAGCUAGUUGGUUUCCUAUCUAUUUUGUCUGCAGAACCCACACAAAAUGGAAGAGGAAGAGGACUCUCUUCUAACCUUUUGUCCAGUGGUUAGGGCACUCACCAGAGAGACAGCACUGGGGAGUUAGAGCGACACAGAAAUAAAUUGGAAGUGAAACUUAAGAGACCAAGCUAAGCAAGAGGCAGAAGAGUCCAGGCAGAAGACAGAUGAGACCAGCCACAACCCCAAGAGAGGAAAAGGAAACUACCUGCCUAACAUUUAGCAAAAGCUCACUGAAGAGGCAAGGGUGUCAAUAGAUCCAUGUUGGCCAAAAAGCAGGAUGAGUGUGAGCAUGCAGUUCAAGAUCAUGCCUUUGCUCAAGUGGAGUUGCCCAUGGCACUUGGGGAAAUCAGGGAAUAUCCUUAUAGUAGGAGGAAGCAU